UUGCCAGGUGAAACAGAAAAGCUAUAUGGCAGUACAUUCUUGGUCUCGUUCAUGUCCAAUUGUGCAAAGCUAAAAAUUAAAAUGACAAAAUCCUUUAUCUCAUUUACGUGUCUUAGGAAAAAGGUGCUGCCAGCAAACACAAAGGAUGGGAUGCAGAACAUGGCAACCCCACUGGGUUUGGGGUGGUGCCAGUGCCAAACAGCAGCAGACAAUACAUGGGGAACAGCUGGGCCAGGGAUCUUAGAGCAGGGGAAGGGCAUGUGUAGGCAGGUCCCUUUGGAUUUCUGUGAAUUCAGGCACACUGCCACAGAGGAAUGAAAUGAGAGAAUUGGUUAAUAACUCAUGAACAAAGGUAAUGACUAUUCUUUGCUUGUGUUGACUGGGCUCGUCUAUGCUGUGACCCAGGUAUAAACCCGAAAAAGAGAAUUUAAGCUCUUAAUUUCCUAAUAAAGACAAGUGGGAACAUAACAGCCUGAAAAGGUGCUAAGUGUCUAAACACUACUUUUUUGGAUCUAGGCCUUAGCUUUUUCUAGCCUCUCAUUCUAUCUCCUACUUAGGUUUCAUGUCCUGGUCCAGGCGAUCUUUCAGCCGGGAUAGUUGGAAUCCUUACACUGUUCUUUCCUAUCCCCUACAAUAAAAUACCACUAAUGUCUUUCAAAUCACUAACACAAUUUAUAUCCAAUUCACAUUUAGAUUGUGGGAAGUGGACUUCACUACAAAGUCCAACAUAAACUAAACUUUGUGUUUACAAACACAAAUAGACAAGUUAACCAUGAGCCAGCAAUGUGUCUGUGUGGCCAAGGUGGCCAGUGGCAUCCUGGGGUGCACUACAAAGAGUGUGGCCAGCAGGUUGAGGCAGGUUAUUCUACCCUUCUACUCUGCCUUGGUGAGGCUGCAUCUGCAGUACUGUGUCCAGUUCUGAGCUCCCCAGUUCAAUAAUGACAAGGAACUACUGGAGAGGGUCCAGCAGAGGGUUAUAAAUAUGAUUAGGGGCCUCUAGCAACUCUUCCAGGAGGAACAACUGAGAGAGUUGGGCUUGUUCAGGCUGGAGAAGAGACAACUGAGAGGGGAUCUUAUUAAUGCAUACAAAUAUCUUAAUGCCAGGUGUCAAGAGGAUGGAGCCAGACUCUUUUCAGUGGUGCCCAGCAACAGGACAAGGAUCAACAAGCACAAACUGAAACACUGGAAAUUCCAUUUGAAUAUAAGCCUCCCCAUUCUUUUGUAUCUGAGCACUUCACAAAGAGGAAUAUAAGAAAGAAAGUUUUAUAGGCUAUGUCCAGACUCCUCUGAAACAACAGCAAGAAGAGUAGCUGUGAGCCAGGUGAUUUCUACCUCUGACAAGUCUACUGUCCAAACUGCUGCCACGCCAGCAGUCUGCAGACCUGUCUGGACAUCUUGGUGGUAAUAUGAAGCCAUCAGAAGAUCCAUUGGAAUGGACUUGGCCACUGAUUCUUCACAACAUUCACUUCACUGGAACCUCGAUGGAUGAGACUGCAAGAGUAGCUG